UACGUAGGUGACAAGCGUUGUCCGGAAUUAUUGGGCGUAAAGGGAGCGCAGGCGGUUGGAAUAGUCUGAUGUGAAAGCCCACGGCUUAACCGUGGAAGGUCAUUGGAAACUGUCCAACUUGAAUGCAGAAGAGGUAAGUGGAAUUCCAUGUGUAGCGGUGAAAUGCGUAGAUAUAUGGAGGAACACCAGUGGCGAAGGCGACUUACUGGUCUGUAAUUGACGCUGAGGCUCGAAAGCGUGGGUAGCGAACAGGAUUAGAUACCCGGGUAGUCC
rnacentral:rRNA from 1 species